GAAAUGCGAUAAGUAGUGUGAAUUGCAGAAUUCAGUGAAUCAUCGAAUCUUUGAACGCACAUUGCGCCCCUCGGUAUUCCGGGGGGCAUGCCUGUCCGAGCGUCAUUGCUGCCCUUCAAGCCCGGCUUGUGUGUUGGGUCGUCGUCCCCUCCGGGGGACGGGCCCGAAAGGCAGCGGCGGCACCGCGUCCGGUCCUCGAGCGUAUGGGGCUUUGUCACCCGCUCGAUAAGGACCGGCCGGGCGCCAGCCGGCGUCUCCAACCUUUUUUUCUCAGGUUGACCUCGGAUCAGGUAGGGAUACCCGCUGAACUUAAGC
rnacentral:misc_RNA from 1 species